rnacentral:tRNA from 2 species
AGUAGAAUGGCUGAGCCUAAGCGAUAAAUUGUAAAUUUAUUUACGGAAUUUUUUCCUUCUACUA